rnacentral:rRNA from 1 species
GCAGUCGCCACGGUAAUACGAAGGGGGCUAGCGUUGUUCGGAUUUACUGGGCGUAAAGGGCGCGUAGGCGGGCUGAUAAGUCAGGGGUGAAAUCCCCGGGCUUAACCUGGGAACUGCGCUUGUGACUGCACAGCUAGAGUAUGGCAGAGGGGGGUGGAAUUCCACGUGUAGCAGUGAAAUGCGUAGAGAUGUGGAGGAACACCGAUGGCGAAGGCAGCCCCCUGGGCCAAUACUGACGCUCAUGCACGAAAGCGUGGGGAGCAAACAGGAUUAGAUACCCCAGUAGUCCCUGUCUCUUAUAC